rnacentral:rRNA from 1 species
GACGAACGCUGGCGGCGUGCUUAACACAUGCAAGUCGAACGAAGUGGCGAACGGGUGAGUAAUACGUGAGUAACUGCCCUCCUUUUUGGGAUAACAGUUGGAAACGGCUGCUAAUACCGGAUAGUGGGGGAUGACUCGCGUCCUAUCAGCUUGUUGGUGGGGUAGUGGCCUACCAAGGCGACGACGGGUAGCCGGCCUGAGAGGGCGACCGGCCACAUUGGGCUGAGACACGGUCCAAACUCCUACGGGAGGCAGCAGUAAGGAAUAUUGCGCAAUGGGGGAAACCCUGACGCAGCAACGCCGCGUGGAGGAUGACACUUUUCGGAGCGUAAACUCCUUUUAUCAGGCGGUACCUGAUGAAUAAGCACCGGCUAACUCCGUGCCAGCAGCCGCGGUAAUUC